rfam:Streptomyces aureofaciens strain ATCC 10762 contig_25, whole genome shotgun sequence.
UUCGCGGUGUACUCCCAGACGGCGUCCGGGUUCAGCAGCGAGUCGUCGCCGAAACGGUCGCCGUCGCCGGCCACGCCGACCACGGUCUCGUCGCCGUACUUGCCGGUGCCGAACUUGUUGAUCUUGCCGUGCGCGAUCAGGAAGAUCCGGUCGGCCGCCUCGCCCUGGGUGGUGAGCACCUCGCCGGGGCCGAAGUCACGCUGCUGGCAGCGGUCGGCGAGGGCGGUCAGCACCUCGUCGUCCUCGUAGCCGCGCAGCAGGGCGAGUUCGCCCAGCUCCGCCGGGAUCACGCGGACCUGGGAGCCGGUCUUGAUGAACUCCACCACACCGUUGCCGACGGUGUAGGUGAGCCGACGGUUCACCCGGUACGCGCCACCGUGGGCCUCGACCCACGGGAGCACCUUGAGCAGCCAGCGGGAGGUGAUCUCCUGCAUCUGCGGGGCGGACUUGGUCGUGGUGGCAAGAUUGCGGGCAGCUGCCGUCGCAAGGCUCUGCUGCCGGUCCUG